GGAGGUGUGCAUGGAGAAACAAAAAUGCUUGGGCCUUAGGCCCAAGCUUUCAAAUGCACACCCUGGUUCCUGCACUUUACCAAAGCCAAAGAAAUUGAAACGAAUACGUGAUAAUGAAUAAUCGUGAAAUUGUUGAUUGAACCGUGAUGUUGAGUUGAAGGGUGAAAGGUUGUUUGUUUUUGAAGGAGGUUCAUGAGAGAGUUUGUGGAGGGUCAUUCCGUUGGCAUUGAAGAGGUUAGAGGGAGUUACAGGAGGUUCAUAAUUGGUUCUUUCUGAAGAAGAUUGGAGUAUUUGAAGAAGUGGCAGUGGAACUGGUGCCAACAUCGAUUUUUGGGUUCGACAGUUUCUCCAAGUUCUUCAAGUGUUUCUUUCCGGCUAAGUAUGUAAUGUACAUAUCCCUGCUGUUACAAUUAAUCUUACAAGUUUAACACCAUGCAGAUUGAGCAACCUUGAUUUUCUUAGCGGCUUUUCAAAACGGAGCAAGCAAUAGAUGGACCAAUUAACGCUUGUACUUGGAAGCUACUUACGCCACUUUGUUGGCCAAUGACUUGAAGUUCAUUGGAUAUGCUUGGACAUGUGGUGGAUGCUAUGGAGUGUGGAAUGGCUAGGAGGCUUGAAUUGCUUGGAGUCGUGGAAUGCAUUGGAUUUAUGAUUUGUAAUUGGCUUAAUUUUGGAAUGUAGGAUAUUUUUGUAGGCUUUAUGUUUGGUUAUGUAAUGUUGAAGUUUUGAUGAAAUGAAUGUAAUUGUUAUGAUUGUAAUUGAAAUUG